rnacentral:lncRNA from 1 species
AUGAGCUGCGCCCUUGGGUGUGGUGACGCCGGGAGGUGCGGGCGCGGUUCACCUGCAGUAGACGGCGGAGGCGGAGGAGCCUGCAGACGCGAUGCUCAGCCCUGUAGGCCGAGGAAGGACAACCCGGGGGAUCCCAGCUCCAGGGGACAAUCGGGGCAACUUCGUAGGGGUCGGAGGUGUGCGGCGGGCGCAGAACCGCGGAUCCACCUGCUUCGCCGCCCCCCACGGUCCCCCCAACUAUCCCCCCCCCCGGCUCUGCGGGCCUCGGUGGUCACCUUGCCGCAGUGGCCUCCCGGCGGACCCCGCGGACCCCCGCCUGCUGACCCCACACCCCGAGCAAAGCCCCGCGAGGACCUGGGCCGUGGUUUCGGAUGCAGUCGGCUGCGUGGAGGGAGCGCUGCGCCCGGUGGCCCAGAUCACCAUGUCCGUCUACACCGUGGCAGCUCUCCCAGGUCCUUGGGGCUGCAGCCGGGACAGCACCACUGCCUGUUCCGCCCUUGCCCCUUGGCCCUCUCCCAGCCUGCCCACCGCCACCCUUCCCGCUCACGGUGCACAGACAGUCCCGCUCCUGGGGGUCCACAUCUGACCUGACUUCAUUUUUCUUGAAAAGCGUUGAGCUGCUCACCCCAGUGACAUCAGCUCGCUUCCCCACUGGGCCUCGAAGCCAGUUCCCUGCCUCCCCGGCCCCAGGCCUCGCCCCCUCCCAGACCCCAGCAGGGGACAGGCACACUGGAGGGCCACUGCCUAAGGCCCAGGACCUGUGCCCAAGUCCCAGCUCUGACACCAAAUAAUUGUGUUACCUUGGACAUGUCGCACAGCCUUCCUCAGCCCCAAUUUCCCCAAAUGUAAAAUGGGAAUAAGAACCUACUUUAUCACAUGCUGUGUUGCUUAGAUAAUGUGUGAGAAAGCGCGUUGUGGGCUGUAAGGCUGUCUCCUGCUGUAGAUCCAAAUAAGAAAGAUAAAUGUUACUCAGAUGCUGGAGACAGUGAUUGCCUUUCCAAAGCAAAAUUAAAAAAAAAAAAAAAAUAUAUAUAUAUAUAUAUAUAUGUAUGUAUAUAAAACGAGUUUUUCCUCUUAGCUGCAGUGUCAGCUGCAUUAGAAUUAGACUGGAAAAAAAAAGAAUUAGACUGGAUUCUAAUCCAUUAGACUGGAUUCUAAUUAUUCCUUUUGGAUCAGUUACCAGGUAAUAUUACAGGUAGUAGUGAAAGAACUCACAAUCCCACCUGAUCCUGGAGUCCGGGAUCGAGUCCCGUGUCGGGCUCCCUGCAUGGAGCCUGCUUCUCCCUCUGCCUGUGACUCUGCCUCUCUCUCUAUAUAUAUCUCUCAUUAAUAAAUAAAAUCUUAAAAAUAAAUAAAAUUCUUAAAAAAGAAAAAAAAAAGGAACUCACAAUCCCAAGAUCAAGAGUCACAUGCUCCACUGACCCAGCCAGCCUGGCGUCCCUAUAACAUAAAAGGUUUUUUGUUGUUUUUCUUUUUUUUUUUUUUUAAGCUGCAUGCUCAGUAGUGUAUGUGCAGAGAGAUGUGAGAGGGGAAGGGACUUUUCCAGCGCUCUUCAUAGCUUGUUAUUAGGCCUGCACACAGGGCACCUGGGGCCAGAGAACUCGGGACACAUUCCAGGGCCUGACUCUUACACAAAUAGCUCGGCCCUUGCGUCCCGAGAGUAGGGGAUUCAGGACGGAGGAACCAGAAGGUUGGUGCCUCCGGGGAGCCGCAGCCUGCCCCAGAUCCGGGUCUGCCUCCAUGUCCCUGUGGCCUCAUGUUCCAAGGUUUUCUGCACCAUUUCUCCCACCUGGACUUGGGCUUUAGAGAACGAGAGCCUCCAGGGCCUGCGUGGACGAGUCCCAGGCGGCUUAGAGGAAGGCCCGCCCGCCCGCCGGCAAGAGGCUCCGGGCACAGACACAGGAACUAAGCGCCCAGAUGAGGGGCCUGGGCCACGGAGGGGGCACGAGGAGCCAUCGCGGAGCUGGGGAGCUGCGGGGCUGCGGAGGGCAGCGCGAGGGCUGGCCGGGGCCCUGCUGAGAGUCCGGGCUUGCGCGCUGCUCUCCGCCCAGUACCUGCCGGUUCACAUCCCAGGUUCAGACCCGCGGCCCCGAGGGCAGGAGCCCCGCGGUCCGCCCCCUGCGCAGCCGGGCGCCUCGUGCCUGCAGAGCUGCAGCAAGUCCCGUGGACCGUCCGCGGGUGGGAGGCGCUUGGAAUGAGGGGGGUCCGGUGCCCGCACACCACCAGCACCCGGCCCAUCAGCAGGCCCACCUGUUUACGUAGAAUACAUCCGGCGUCUGACCCCCUCUUGCCACCUCCUCGGCUGUCAUUCCGGUCCCAGCCACUGCCUUCUACCUGGAUUUUUUUUUAAGAUUUUAUUUAUUUAUUCAUGAGAGACACACACAUACAGAGAGGCAGAGACACAGGCAGAGGGAGAAGCAGGCUCCAUGCAGGGAGCCCGACGUGGGACUCGAUCCCGGGACUCCAGGAUGGUGCCCUGGGCCAAAGGCAGGUGCUCAACCGCUGAGCCCCCCAGGUGUCCCUUUGUGUGCGUGUGGGAUUUGGUUUAUUUGAGAGCGAGCAGCAGGGGCGGAGCAGAGGGAGAGGGAGAGAGAAUUUCCAGCCGACUCCAUGCUGAGUGCAGAGCCUGAUGCACGGCUUGAUCCCCGGACCCAUGAGAUCAUGACCUGAGCCCAAACCACAAGAGUCGAAUGCUCAAGCACCUGAGCCCCCCGGGGAGCCUGUGCCUGGAUUAUGGCUGCAGCCUCCCGCCUCGCCCCCAGCUUCUGUCUUCAGGCCCUACACCGACUCUCAAGUCCCUUCUCUACACUGCACUUCCCAGAGUGAUCCUUUAAAAGCAUAAAUUAGGUCACAUCUCUUCUCUACCCCAAAUCCCCCCGUGGCUCCCCAUCCUGAUCAGCGUAAAAGGCAAAUCCUUAGAGUGGUCCCAAUGCCCUGCGUGACCUGAUGUCCUUGACCCUGCCCCUGCUCUCCCAGGCUCACCAGACUGCAACCGUACUGCCACUCUGCUGCUCCUCAAACACACCAAGCAUGUAGCUGCCUCAGGGCCUUUGCUCUUGAUGUCCCUCCACCCUCCGCCCUUGGCAGUCCUCACUUUUCCUUCCGGUCUUUGAGAAAUGACCACUCGUCAGAGGGGUCUUUCCUGACAGCCCUAAAUAAACCUGCACAGUUCCCCUAUGUCCCACAUUCGCUGUACCCUCUUACCUGCUUUACUUCUCCCCAGGACCCUUCUCCCCACCACCCGUAUCUGUCAUCCUGUGCCCCUCCUGCCAGAUUUAAAACCUCACAAAAUCUCUCUUGAAAACAGCUUUUCCAGGUCUGUCUCAACCUGUCUGUGCAUAUUCACCAGUCCCAUUGCCUGCCCUUCCCCCCCAGCCCGCGUCCCCCAAACCCCUCCAUCUCCGGCCACUCCCCACGAGCUCCCCAGGAGCCCCGCUCAGGCCAGGCCGGACUUUGCCGGCUGCCCGGGCUGCCCUGCUCGUUUAUCCCUCAUGCUUCUUGCACAAAGGAGGUCGCAAGGUCCCUGGUGUCGGGCAGUUGCGAUGGUUCCCAAGUGUUUACUGUUGCAGGCGCCCGGGCGUGCCCACGGCAGCUUCCUUCAGAUAAGUUAUUUGAAGAGGAACUACUGAGCCAAAGGGUGUGUGAUUUUCUAGGCUCCCGAUGAGUGUUGCCAACUUUUCCUCCUGUUUAUCUAAUUAUAGUCCCCUCAGCUAGUGUGUGAUGCCCUUUGUCUUUUUUUACAUCCUUAGCAAAACUGGGGAUUUAAAAAACACUGGGAGGUGAAAAAGUUACAUCUUGUCUUAAUUGACAUCGGUGAAGUUGGACAUUUUUUUUUGUUUCCCUCUUUUGUUAAUUCAUAAUUAAUUUCCCUUUAAAAAAUGUUUUCCUCUGUCCUUUUCUAUCGGGAUGUUAGGUUUUUACUCCUGAUUUAUAAUCCUUAUUUUUAUAUUAAGAGUAUUUAUGGGGGGCACCUGGGUAGCUCAGUCGGUUGGGCAUCCGACUCUUGAUCUUGGCUCAGGUCAUGAUCUCGGGGUCAAGAGAUCGUGCUCUGUGCUCAGUGGGGAGUCUGCUUGAGAUUCUCUCUUUCUGUCUCCCUCUGCCCCUCCCUUGCAAAAAAAGAAUAUUUAUGGGACACCUGGCUGGUUCAGCUGGUGGCACAUGCAGCUCUUGAUCUUGGGCUUGGGAGUGUGAGCCCCAUGUUGGGUGUAGAAAUAACUUAAAAAAAUAAUGAUUAAAAAAAUAAUAAAAUAAUGAAAAACCAAAUUCACUAUUUGAAAUGUCUGUGGGGGGAUCCCUGGGUGGCGCAGCGGUUUGGCGCCUGCCUUUGGCCCAGGGCGCGAUCCUGGAGACCCGGGAUCGAAUCCCACGUCAGGCUCCUGGUGCAUGGAGCCUGCUUCUCCCUCUGCCUAGUCUCUGCCUCUCUCUCUCUCUCUCUCUCUCUCUCUGUGACUAUCAUAAAUAAAAAAUAAAUAAAAAAAAAAAGAAA